rnacentral:rRNA from 1 species
CCUACGGGUGGCAGCAGUGAGGAAUAUUGGUCAAUGGGCGAGAGCCUGAACCAGCCAAGCAGCGUGAAGGAUGAAUGCCCUACGGGUUGUAAACUUCUUUUAUCAGGGAAUAAACUGUGGCACGUGUGGGAUUUUGUAUGUACCCUAUGAAUAAGGAUCGGCUAACUCCGUGCCAGCAGCCGCGGUAAUACGGAGGAUCCGAGCGUUAUCCGGAUUUAUUGGGUUUAAAGGGAGCGGAGGUGGAUUGUUAAGUCAGUUGUGAAAGUUUGCGGCUCAACCGUAAAAUUUCAGUCGAAACUGGCAGUCUUGAGUUCAGUAGAGGUAGGCGGAAUUCGUGGUGUAGCGGUGAAAUGCUUAGAUAUCACGAAGAACUCCGAUUGCGAAGGCAGCUUACUGGACUGCCACUGACACUGAGGCACGAAAGUGUGGGUAUCAAACAGGAUUAGAUACCCCUGUAGUC